rnacentral:misc_RNA from 1 species
GCGGCUCAACAAACAAGAGAAAAGUAAUAAAAGGCAGAAAAGACAAGGGCUAACGCGUCAUUUCAUAUCCGCAAAUUUCUCCCAUAUUCUUCUAGGACUCGCAGAUCUCUUUUUCACGUUGCCUUCCUCUCUUUUUUUUUUUCCUAUUUUUUUAUUUUUUUGAAGCUUCCUUUGUAGCUUUCCGAAAACGCCCAAACUUCGCC